rnacentral:rRNA from 1 species
UCCGUGAAGAAGCGGAGAUUUAACUAUAAGACGAGAAGACCCCAUGGAGCUUUAAACCUGACUACACCCCUAUCUAUUAUACCCUUAAAUCAACAGGGCCUUUGUCUGUCGGUUUUAGGUUGGGGUGACCGCGGAGCAUAAAUUAACCUCCAAGAUGAACUGGACUAACCCAUUAUCUAAGAUUUACACCUCAAAGAAUCAGCACACUGACAUAAAAUGAUCCGACAUUCGAUCAACGAACCAAGUUACCCUGGGGAUAACAGCGCAAUCUACUUCAAGAGCCCCUAUCGACAAGCAGGUUUACGACCUCGAUGUUGGAUCAGGGUAUCCUAGUGGUGCAACAGCUACUAAAGGUUCGUUUGUUCAACGAUUAAAACCCU